AGUGGCGGACGGGUGAGUAACACGUAAGGAACCUGCCUAUAAGUGUGGAAUAACAGUGGGAAAUCAUUGCUAAUACCGCAUAUUUUGAUUAAGUCGCAUGAUUUAGUCAAGAAAGAUUUAUUGCUUAUAGAUGGCCUUGCGGCUGAUUAGCUAGUUGGUAAGAUAACAGCUUACCAAGGCGACGAUCAGUAGCCGGAUUGAGAGGUUGAACGGCCACAUUGGGACUGAGACACGGCCCAGACUCCUACGGGAGGCAGCAGUCGGGAAUAUUGCACAAUGGGGGAAACCCUGAUGCAGUGACGCCGCGUAUAGGAAGAAGGUCUUAGGAUUGUAAGCUAUUGUUGUGUGGAAAGAAGAAGACGGUACCACAUCAGAAAGCCCUGGCUAAAUAUGUGCCAGCAGCCGCGGUAAUACAUAUGGGGCGAGCGUUAUCCGGAUUUAUUGGGUGUAAAGGGUGCGUAGGCGGAAGAGUAAGUUAGUUGUGAAAUCCCACAGCUCAACUGUGGAAUUGCAACUAAAACUGCUUUUCUUGAGUACUGGAGAGGAAAGUGGAAUUCCUAGUGUAGCGGUGAAAUGCGUAGAUAUUAGGAGGAACACCAGAGGCGAAGGCGACUUUCUGGACAGUAACUGACGCUCAGGCACGAAAGCAUGGGUAGCAAACAGGAUUAGAUACCCUGGUAGUCCAUGCCGUAAACGAUGAAUACUAGAUGUAGGUACAAUAUGUAUCUGUAUCGCAGUUAACGCAAUAAGUAUUCCACCUGGGGAGUACGACCGCAAGGUUAAAACUCAAAGGAAUUGACGGGGGCCCGCACAAGCAGUGGAGUAUGUGGUUUAAUUCGACGCAACGCGAAGAACCUUACCAGGGUUUGACAUGUAUAGGACGAUAUAAGAGAUUAUAUUUCUAGCUUGCUAGUCUAUACACAAGUGGUGCAUGGUUGUCGUCAGCUCGUGUCGUGAGAUGUUGGGUUAAGUCCCGUAACGAGCGCAACCCCUAUGUUUAGUUACUAACAUUAAGUUGAGAACUCUAGACAGACUGCCGGUGACAAAUCGGAGGAAGGUGGGGACGACGUCAAAUCAUCAUGCCCUUUAUGUCCUGGGCUACACACGUACUACAAUGGGUAGAACAGAGGGAAGCAAUACAGUGAUGUGGAGCAAAACCUUAAAUCUAUUCUCAGUUCGGAUUGAAGUCUGAAAUUCGACUUCAUGAAGCCGGAAUUGCUAGUAAUGGCAGGUCAGCAUACUGCCGUGAAUACGUUCCCGGGCCUUGUACACACCGCCCGUCACACCAUGAGAGUUGGGGAUACCCGAAGCCUGUGAGCUAGAGGAGCUGCCUAGGGUAAAACUAGUAACUGGGGCUAAGUCGUAACAAGGUAACC
rnacentral:rRNA from 1 species